rnacentral:rRNA from 1 species
GAUGAACGCUGGCGGCGUGCCUAAUACAUGCAAGUCGAACGCGAGCAGCAAUGCUCGAGUGGCGAACGGGUGAGUAAUACAUAAGUAACCUGCCCUAGACAGGGGGAUAAUUUCUGGAAACGGAAACUAAAACCGGAUAGGUAGGGAUCUCGCAUGAGGACCUUAUUAAAGGGGCUGCGGCCCUGAACAUGGAUGGACCUGCGGUGCAUUAGCUGGUUGGUGGGGUAACGGCCUACCAAGGCGACGAUGCAUAGCCGACCUGAGAGGGCGAACGGCCACAUUGGGACUGAGACACGGCCCAA